rnacentral:rRNA from 1 species
UACAGAGGGUGCAAGCGUUAAUCGGAAUUACUGGGCGUAAAGCGUGCGUAGUCGGCUUUUCAAGUCGGGUGUGAAAGCCCCGGGCUCAACCUGGGAAUUGCAUUCGAUACUGGAUGGCUAGAGUUCGGCAGAGGGAAGCGGAAUUUCCGGUGUAGCGGUGAAAUGCGUAGAUAUCGGAAGGAACAUCAGUGGCGAAAGCGGCUUCCUGGACCAGAACUGACGAUCAGGCACGAAAGCGUGGGGAGCAAACAGG